GACAAGCUGCCUGCAAAGAGCUCCUUUUCUCCCCGCCAAUCAGCUGAUCGGCGAGUGGGCGGGGCUUCCAGGGAGGUCUCCGUGUAGGCCUCAGUGAAGCCUGAACUGGAGUAGGCUUGCAGGGAGGCCCCAAGGAAGGAAGCAGGCAGAGUGGCCCCCACAGCUCUCUGCAGCAGAUCCUCUGCCCAGCCCAGCAUUUGCCAGGGAGACCUGUGCACAAUGAAUGAAAGCUGUGGAAGUUCCUGCAAGGAAGCUUGCCCUGGUCCUAGGCCAGGCAUCCCCAAACUGUGGCCCUCCAGAUGUUGCUGAACUAGAGCUCCCAGCAUCCCUAGACACAAUUUUUUGUGGCUGGGUAUGCUGGAAGUUGUAGUUCAGCAAUAUCUGGAGGGCCGCAGUUUGGGGAUGACUGUCCUAGGCUCUUUGGCCAAGUACUGGCCCCUCUCCCUAGAAAGAGACACAAGGGGGAGGGUCGGCUUGGCAGAAGGGGCAGCCCCACUUGCGGAGUAGUCUCAGCUGCAAGGCUCCCCUGCUCUCCUACUCAUGUCAUCCUGGAUGCAAGGUGUGUUGUACCUCCGAACCUUCGAACCCUUGAACGUUUGAACCUUUGGAUCUUUGAACCUUCGGAUCUUUGGACCUUCAGACCCUCGAACCUUUAAACCAUUGAACCAUUGAACAUGUGAACAUGUGAACUUUUGAAACUAUAAACUUUCAAACCUUUGAACUUUUGUACCUUUGAACCUUUGAUAUUUUGAACCUUGCAACCUUAAAACCUUUGAACCUUC